AGAAAAAUUGGUGGAUUUCAAGUAAUCAAGCAAUCAAAGGUGGUGAGCCCUCUAACAAGGGUAAAGACGUUUUGUCAGAGGACUGAGAAUACGAGUAUUUCAAACUCCUGAUACAGUUUAGCUUGCUGCAGUGGGCGAGUUUCUGUGGACCAGC